GUGUGGUAUAUGCUUGCCUCAGCCACACAUAUUCUAAAAUUGGAAUGAUACAUUACGGCCCCUUAACAAAGAUGAAACAUAAAUUUGUGACAUGUUUCAUGUUUUU
rnacentral:snRNA from 14 species